rnacentral:rRNA from 1 species
CCCUUAGAUGUUCUGGGCUGCACGCGCGCUACACUGAUGCGAUCAACAAGUUUUUCCUAUGUCGAUAGACACGGGUAAUCUUUUGAACUCGCAUCGUGAUGGGGAUAGAUUAUUGUAAUUAUUAAUCUUCAACGAGGAAUUCCUAGUAGGUGCAAACCAUCAGUUUGCAUCGAUUACGUCCCUGCCCUUUGUACACACCGCCCGUCGCUGCUACCGAUUGGUUGAUCUGGUGAAUUAUUCGGACUGCCGGCUGAAGGGGUUUCCUCAUCUGCCAGCGGAAAGUCUUGUUAACCCUAUCAACUAGAGGAAGCAGAAGUCGUAACA